GACGAACGCUGGCGGCGUGCCUAAUACAUGCAAGUAGAACGCUGAAGCUUGGUGCUUGCACCGAGCGGAUGAGUUGCGAACGGGUGAGUAACGCGUAGGUAACCUGCCUGGUAGCGGGGGAUAACUAUUGGAAACGAUAGCUAAUACCGCAUAAAAUGGAUUAUCGCAUGAUAAUCCAUUGAAAGGUGCAAAUGCAUCACUACCAGAUGGACCUGCGUUGUAUUAGCUAGUUGGUGGGGUAACGGCUCACCAAGGCGACGAUACAUAGCCGACCUGAGAGGGUGAUCGGCCACACUGGGACUGAGACACGGCCCAGACUCCUACGGGAGGCAGCAGUAGGGAAUCUUCGGCAAUGGACGGAAGUCUGACCGAGCAACGCCGCGUGAGUGAAGAAGGUUUUCGGAUCGUAAAGCUCUGUUGUAAGAGAAGAACGAGUGUGAGAGUGGAAAGUUCACACUGUGACGGUAUCUCACCAGAAAGGGACGGCUAACUACGUGCCAGCAGCCGCGGUAAUACGUAGGUCCCGAGCGUUGUCCGGAUUUAUUGGGCGUAAAGCGAGCGCAGGCGGUUAGAUAAGUCUGAAGUUAAAGGCUGUGGCUUAACCAUAGUACGCUUUGGAAACUGUUUAACUUGAGUGCAAGAGGGGAGAGUGGAAUUCCAUGUGUAGCGGUGAAAUGCGUAGAUAUAUGGAGGAACACCGGUGGCGAAAGCGGCUCUCUGGCUUGUAACUGACGCUGAGGCUCGAAAGCGUGGGGAGCAAACAGG
rnacentral:rRNA from 1 species